rnacentral:tRNA from 3 species
GCCGGUCUGGCGGAAAUGGCAGACGCAGUGGCUUCAAGUCCCACCGCCUUCGGGCGUCCCGGUUCGAGGCCGGGGACCGGCACCA